rnacentral:lncRNA from 1 species
UGGAGGAGCUGAUGGAUACUGAAGAAUCACAUGACCUCGCAGGUGUAGGACUUCUUAUCUGUAUGUAAUAAUGGGUAACAAGGUUCUUAAAAGUUGUGUAGACCCCGGUUACAGAAUUUACAUUUUUGUUAACCCCAGUAAGUCUGUACAGCUUUUAUUCUUUAAGGAAAACAGCACUUUUUUUUUUUUUUAAAGGAUACGCACAGACCGGUUUGCGGAUCAGAAUUAAUGAUUACUUGAAGAUAGUGUGAGGAAUCAAACUUCCUGAUCUCACAGUUCAAAACUGACAUUGUAGCUAGGUACUCUGUGUCAUGGACAUGUCAGGUAGUACUGGUUUUUGUCUUCGAGACUGAACAUUUAUUUUCAGAAUUUACCACCUAUAAAUGAUUUAAAUUAAUUUCAGACAGGUAUAAGGAAUUAACAGUGCACUUUUUUUUAUAGUUGAGAUGUUCAAAAUAAAUGCAGUUAAUCUUAAAUGUUUCUCUUAAUGCUUCCUCCUACUCUCAAGUUUUAGGACUACAGUAAUUAUUAUUAUUAUUAUUGUUAUUAUUAUUACUACUGUUACUAUCAUUGGUUUUUUGUUGUUGUUGGUGGUGGUGGUGUGUUUGAGGCAAUGUCUCACUCUGUAGUCCCUGCAGGUCUGGAGGUUACUAUGUAGUCCACCUGGUGGCAAACCCAUGGCAUUCUUUCUGCCUUAGGUUUGUGAGGGCUGAGACCACAGGCCUGGCUACUUCAUUUCUUCUUUUUGAGAUAGGCGGCUAUGUAGCCCAAGAUGGUCUCCAGCCCACUAUGAGGUUGAGGAUGGCCAAACAGAAUUCUGAUCUCCUUGCUUCUGCUUCCCAAGAGCUAGGGUUAUGGGUGUAUACCACCACCCGAUUACACCUAGUGCCAAAGGUCAAAGUAGCAAAAUUAUAGAUGUAUCCUACUGCACACAGUUUCAUGCUGUAUUAAGGAAUAGAUGUAGGGCUAUUUAUGUGCUCAAGUCUGGCUUCUUAUUUUUAUUCCCAUUCUUAUUACUUUGAGCCAUUCCGUAUCAAUGUGUAGCCCAGAGUGGCUUCAAAUUUUCCAUCCUCCUUUUUCUUCCUUCUAAGUGCUUGCAGUAAAGGUCUAUGUUACCAUGCCAGCCCCAACCUUUUUAUUUUUUAAUAAUGGAAUUUAUUUCUUGUCCACCCUCUACUUCAUAACAUACUGAUGUGAAUGUGUGGUUUUUUUUUUAAAGGAAGCUCCAUAUUCAAGCCUAUGCAUUUGACACAAGAUUUCAUAAACAUGACACGUCGGAAGGUCUGAUGCGCUUGUCCCCAGUUGAGUUCCAGCAGUUGUGUGGAGAUUAUUAUUGGCAAACUGAUUGCAAAAUAGGUAUUAAAAGUACAAGAGAUCAAGAAGGAUGAACCAGUCUUAGAAAUUUGUUGGAAAUGAAGUCCACCAGACUUUAUUAUCUACCUACAGUGAUUGAGGCAUGGAGUGUUGGUCCAAGAUAGAAUAUCUUUGAAAGGGUCUCUGCAUGUUCCAUUUGUUCUGUCUAUCUGUCUGUCUGUCUGUCUGUCUGUCUGUAUGUAGAUGACCUGAUGUAUCAUCAGAGUUGGCUCUGCAGAGCAGCUUACCCUCAGGCAUAUGGUCUUUCGAAACAUUGGUGCUUAGUCAGUCGGAUUACCAUAUGGAGAAGAGAGAGAAAAACCAGAGCCCUCACAGCAUCUGACCCUGCAUCAGCCCACAGCUGCAGUUGGCUGUGUACAGUCAGAAGCAGUGGGUCAGCUUCGGUUCAGUGAGUUGAUCUGAGCUUCAACAGAACACAAAUCAGUGAUUAAAUUGUAUAGAAAGUUGCAGAACCUCAGAACUCUCCCCGGGCAUCUUUCUAAUCACAUCCUCAUCCCCUCUCCAGAGGUGGCUAUUACGUUCAAUCCCAAGACUAUAAAUUACAGCUACUUUGUGCACUUAGCUUGUACACCAUAGAGAUACAAUUAUAUACAAGGUGUCCUUUCUCCUGCUCUUCCCUUCCUGUGCCACAUUAUGGUGUUUAUUUAUCUUGUUACACCAAGCUGUAGUUCUUGGAGAUCACUGAGUUAGUGAUGCUUAAGGGCCAAACUAUACUGUAU